AGAGCGCAGGGUGGAUGCCUUGGCACUAAGAGCCGAAGAAAGACGUGAUAAGCUGCGAAAAGCUGCGGGGAGAUGCAAAUAAUCUUUGAUCCGCAGAUGUCUGAAUGGGGAAACCCGGCUGGAAGGACUCCAGUCAUCCAUACGCCAAUCCAUAACGUAUGGAAGGGAACCCGGUGAACUGAAACAUCUAAGUAGCCGGAGGAAGAGAAAGAAACAUCGAUUUCCAGAGUAGCGGCGAGCGAAAUGGAAAGAGGCCAAACCGUUGUGCGUGCACAGCGGGGUUCGGACCGCAUAAUUGAUUCAGUGAUUCUAGCAGAAAGGUUUUGGGAAAGCCUGCCGGAGAGGGUGAAAGCCCCGUAAGCGAAAGGAAAACUGACAAGGCGGUAUCCAGAGUACAUCGAGACACGUGAAACCUUGAUGGAACACGCGGGGACCACCCCGUAAGCCUAAAUACUACUUAGUGACCGAUAGCGCAUAGUACUGUGAAGGAAAGGUGAAAAGGACCCCGGGAGGGGAGUGAAAGAGAACCUGAAACCCUGUGUUUACAAUCUGUGGAAGGUCUUUAUAUGAUCAACCGCGUACUUUUUGUAGAACGGUCCGGCGAGUUACGCGUACUGGCAAGGUUAAGUGCUUAAGGCACGGAGCCGAAGCGACAGCGAGUCUUAACUGGGCGAUGAGUCAGUACGAGUAGACCCGAAACCGGGUGAUCUAUCCAUGUCCAGGAUGAAGAUGCCGUAAAAGGCAUUGGAGGUCCGAAGCCACAUCCGUUGAAAAGGGUGGGCAUGAGGUGUGGAUAGGGGAGAAAUUCCAAUCGAACCCGGAGAUAGCUGGUUCUCCUCGAAAUAGCUUUAGGGCUAGCCUCGUUUUAGUCUUAUGGAGGUAGAGCACUGAAUUUCCGCGGGGGCGUCAAAGCUUACCAAAGAAUAUCAAACUCCGAAUGCCAUGUAGAUGAUGAACGGGAGUCAGACUGCACGAGAUAAGUUGGGCGGUCAAAAGGGAAAGAGCCCAGACCACCGGCUAAGGUCCCAAAGUGUGUGUUAAGUGGAAAAGGAUGUGGGAAUUCGAAGACAACUAGGAUGUUGGCUCAGAAGCAGCCAUACAUUCAAAGAGUGCGUAACAGCUCACUAGUCGAGAGUCCCUGCGCCGAAAAUGUCCGGGGCUGAAACACAACACCGAAGCCGUGGACUCCGUAAGGAGUGGUAGAGGAGCAUUCUUAAAACCGACGAAGCUGUACCGGUAAGGAGCAGUGGAGGGAUAAGAAGAGAGAAUGCCGGAAUGAGUAGCGAGAGGAAGGUGGGAAUCCUUCCGGCCGAAUAUCUAAGGUUUCCAGAGUAAAGCUGAUCUGCUCUGGGUAAGUCGGGGCCUAAGGCGAGGUCAAAAGACGUAGCCGAUGGACAACAGGUUUAGAUUCCUGUACCGCAUAUAAACAGAACUGUGGGGACGCAUGUGGAAAGCAUAAGCCGGGAAUGGAAAGACCGGUACAAGCGGGGUAGGUGUGUGACAGGCAAAUCCGUCAUAUAAGCCGAAGACGUGAUGUGGAGCGAAAUUAAGUAGUGAAGUAUGUGAGCCAUGUGCCGAGAAAAGCCGCUAUUGUUUUAUAUGUGCCCGUACCGUAAACCGACACAGGUGGAUGAGGAGAGAAUCCUAAGGCCGGCGGGAGAAGCAUUGUUAAGGAACUCGGCAAAAUGACCCUGUAACUUCGGGAUAAAGGGUGCCCACGAGAGUGGGCCGCAGAGAAUAGGCUCAAGCAACUGUUUAGCAAAAACACAGGUCUAUGCGAAACCGAAAGGUGAGGUAUAUGGGCUGACGCCUGCCCGGUGCUGGAAGGUUAAGAGGAGAGGUUAGCGCAAGCGAAGCUUUGAAUUUAAGCCCCAGUAAACGGCGGCCGUAACUAUAACGGUCCUAAGGUAGCGAAAUUCCUUGUCGGGUAAGUUCCGACCCGCACGAAAGGCGUAAUGAUUUGAGCGCUGUCUCGACAAUGCAUCCGGUGAAAUUGAAGUACCAGUGAAGAUGCUGGUUACCCGCGCCAGGACGGAAAGACCCCAUGGAGCUUUACUCCAGUUUGAUACUGGGAUUCGGUACUGCACGUACAGGAUAGGUGGGAGACUGAGAACUAUGGACGCCAGUCUGUAGGGAGUCGCUGUUGGGAUACCACCCCUGUAGUACUGGGUUUCUAACCAUCUGCCGUGACCCGGCAGUGGGACAAUGUCAGGCGGGGAGUUUGACUGGGGCGGUCGCCUCCGAAAGGGUAUCG
rnacentral:rRNA from 1 species